CGGCUGGCGGCUGGCGGCUGGCGGCUGACGGCUGGCGGCUGACGGCAUCGGGUUAUGUUCGGUUGCGCCGGUCCGAGCCCAGCCGAUCCGA
rnacentral:tRNA from 1 species